rfam:Marivirga tractuosa DSM 4126, complete genome.
GAGGUCUUGGAAUAGUUUCGGUUUCUAUGAGCCAAGAAGUCAGCAGAAGUCAUAGUAGUCAUGGGUAACGAGCCGUAAGAGCUACGGAGGUCUCACAAAAUGAUGAAGGAC